rnacentral:rRNA from 1 species
UACGUAGGGACCAAGCGUUGUCCGGAAUCAUUGGGCGUAAAGCGCGCGUAGGUGGCCAUUUAAGUCCGCUGUGAAAGUCAGAGGCUCAACCUUUGAAAGCCGGUGGAUACUGGAUGGCUAGAGUACGGAAGAGGAGACUGGAAUUCCUGGUGUAGCGGUGAAAUGCGCAGAUAUCAGGAGGAACACCGGUGGCGAAGGCGGUUCUCUGGGCAUGUCCUGACGCUGAGGAGCGAAAGUGUGGGGAGCGAACAGG